rnacentral:rRNA from 1 species
UACGAAGGUCCCAAGCGUUAUCCGGAUUUAUUGGGUUUAAAGGGUGCGUAGGCGGGCUAUUAAGUCAGUGGUGAAAGCCCUUCGCUUAACGAAGGAACUGCCAUUGAUACUGCAAAUCUUGAGUACAUUUGAUGUGGGCGGAAUGUGUCAUGUAGCGGUGAAAUGCUUAGAUAUGACACAGAACACCGAUUGCGAAGGCAGCUCACAAAACUGUAACUGACGCUGAGGCACGAAAGCGUGGGUAUCAAACAGG